GGCAGUUUGUCCGAGUGGUUAAGGAGCUACACUCGAAUGGUCUCACGACCACGCAAUGUAGUGGGUUCGCCCGCGCAUGUUCGAAUCAUGCAGCUGUCG